rnacentral:siRNA from 1 species
UAUCAGUAUGGGCCUAACUCACA